CCUUUAAAGCUCUUCAAAAGUGUCAAGGAGAAUUCUAAGAGCACACUAGAAUCCAGGACCUGUGCAACAUAAAGGCCACUUGAAUGAUGCCUCCCUUUCAGGUAUACCCAGUUCAUCCAUGGCUGCUGGACAGCUACAGGUGGCGCCUGAACAAGGGGACUGAACAUGGGUGAAUCAACUGAGAAAUGCUGUCUUGGUGGAUCCACAGGAAAUGGAAGAAGUAUCAGUACCCUGCACAGUGGUGACCAACAGAGAGCAUUAAUGCUAGCACUA